rnacentral:rRNA from 1 species
CCUACGGGAGGCAGCAGUAGGGAAUCUUCCGCAAUGGACGAAAGUCUGACGGAGCAACGCCGCGUGAGUGAUGAAGGUUUUCGGAUCGUAAAGCUCUGUUGUUAGGGAAGAACAAGUGCGAGAGUAACUGCUCGCACCUUGACGGUACCUAACCAGAAAGCCACGGCUAACUACGUGCCAGCAGCCGCGGUAAUACGUAGGUGGCAAGCGUUGUUCGGAAUUAUUGGGCGUAAAGGGCUCGCAGGCGGUUUCUUAAGUCUGAUGUGAAAGCCCCCGGCUCAACCGGGGAGGGUCAUUGGAAACUGGGAAACUUGAGUGCAGAAGAGGAGAGUGGAAUUCCACGUGUAGCGGUGAAAUGCGUAGAGAUGUGGAGGAACACCAGUGGCGAAGGCGACUCUCUGGUCUGUAACUGACGCUGAGAGCGAAAGCGUGGGGAGCUACAGGAUUAGAUACCCUGGUAGUC